AGGCAAAUCUUUUCGCGCGCAGAGGUCUCGUCGGCGGCGCCUAGCGGCCAUCUUCGCAAGUUCAUUUGGAGUCCUCUAUAGGUCGAUUUUUGUUUUGAGUCGAUUUUAUUGGCUGUUUUGAUUUAAAAUUGUACUUUGGCGGCCACAAAGUCGUAUCCUCAUGACUUUAGGAGUUUAAUGAAGCUAUAAACAGAUGAAAUACUUCGAGCGGGAACGUAAACAGUGGCAAAGACAGACUUCAAGUGUAUCACAACUCACAACAACCAGGCCUCAACCCUUGAAGAGUUCUCUGCGUGGCACGUUGAGCUACCCAAAAUCAAGCAUAUUCGGACAGUAUGUAAAUAAUCCAGUGCGUAGAGUUAAAGAGGGCCAGAAUGAUCCAACCGCGCGUGACAGCUAUAGUUGUGUGAAAAUACGGAAAAUACCGAAAAUACUGUUGUUAGUUUGAUGAAUAAACCCCGAGGGUGUUGAUUGCCAAAAUACAACGUGAGUGAGAUUGCUCCUAAAACUCCAGGUCUUUAUUAGCGCAAUUUUGCGAUAUUAUCUAGGUUAUUUUAUGUUAAAAACGCAAAAUUGUUACGAGGGUUGACCAUCGAAUAAGAUUUUACGGAUUUUAUAAACAUUUAUCGAUGCUAUUCUUGCUAUAUUUGAUGAAUUCUUAUAGUUGUUAUUCAUUAAUUAUUUAAAAGUUAAAUAUUUUUAUUUUGGUUACCAGAUAAAUACAAGUUUUUGAAAUGUUUGUAUUAGAAAUAGUUUUAUAUCUUAAAAAAAGCUCCCAAAAUAAUAAAAAAGAGGUGCUCUCCUUUGUGCUGGGUUUGGCUGCUCUUGAAAGCACAUUUGAAACUAAAAACCUAAAGAGGCAAAAUCUGUGUAUAAAAUGGCUUUUACGGCUUUUGCUAAUGAUAUGGUCUUGCAUGAAAAUUUGGAAAAUUUGCAUGAUUUAGUUCCCCUGCAUGUGCUAUAGGUAUUUAACUUUUUGUUUGUUCAUAAAAAAUUAUUUACAAAAAAAAUAAUCAAUGUUGCAUGUUAGAUUCUAAAAUCCGUUAAAAUAAUCGCAUGUGUAGAAAAAUCUCAAAAUAAAAUAAGCAAGACUAGAAAACAUUUACAUGGAAAAGCAAUGACAAUCAUCUGAUAUCAAGAGGGAUAAUAAUAUUAUGCUGUGUGACUGUAAGAUUAAGUUACAUUUUAAGUGACUCCCAAAGUUCAAAAUUUAUAUUAACCCUUUUGGGACCUUAAUUUCUUUGGCAAUAGUGACCACAAUUAAAUUUUGAAUUUUGUAUGUUGGGAUGUAUCAGCAAUAUUGCUAAUGUUGACUAUAGACAAUAGAAUAUUAUCAUACAAGUGUUUUUGAAAAUUCGCUUAUCGUUUGGUUUUUGAUUAUUUCUCGAGUGGUCUGCGUUGAAUUGAGUAGCAUCCCUUAGUAUAGUUCGUGUAUAUUUUUCAAUUGAGAUUAUCAUACAAGUUAGGUUAAAAACUAUAUCUGAAAUGAAAAUAAGGAAAAUAAAAAAUAAAUUGAUGUUGUUUUAAUUAUGCUGGUUAGUUAACUUAUUUAGAAUAAAUGAUGAAAAUAAAUCAAAAUUCAGCGAUUCCCCUAGUGAUUAAUCCUGUAUCAACAACUGCCACGAGUAAGUAAGUGCAGAAAAACUUUAUUUGUGUCACUAAAAUUGUACUGAUUUAGAAAUAUGAAAUAUGUGUUUGUACCUUUAACAAAUUGUAGCAAAUAGGCAAUGUACUGAAAAUAAAAAUUAAUUUUUAAGA